rnacentral:rRNA from 1 species
AUUGAACGCUGGCGGCAGGCCUAACACAUGCAAGUCGAGCGGCAGCGGGAAAGUAGCUUGCUACUUUUGCCGGCGAGCGGCGGACGGGUGAGUAAUGCCUGGGGAUCUGCCCAGUCGAGGGGGAUAACUACUGGAGACGGUAGCUAAUACCGCAUACGCCCUACGGGGGAAAGCAGGGGACCUUCAGGCCUUGCGCGAUGGGAUGAACCCAGGUGGGAUUAGCUAGUUGGUGAGGUAAUGGCUCACCAAGGCGACGAUCCCUAGCUGGUCUGAGAGGAUGAUCAGCCACACUGGAACUGAGACACGGUCCAGACUCCUACGGGAGGCAGCAGUGGGGAAUAUUGCACAAUGGGGGAAACCCUGAUGCAGCCAUGCCGCGUGUGUGAAGAAGGCCUUCGGGUUGUAAAGCACUUUCAGCGAGGAGGAAAGGUUGGUAGCUAAUAACUGCCAGCUGUGACGUUACUCGCAGAAGAGGCACCGGCUAACUCCGUGCCAGCCGCCGCGGUAA